rnacentral:rRNA from 1 species
CUCGACAACGGAUAUCUUGGCUCUUGCAUCGAUGAAGAACAUAGUGAAAUGCGAUACUUGGUAUGAAUUGCAGAAUCCCAUGAACCAUCGAGUAUUUGAACGCAAGUUGCGCCCGAAGUCUUCUGCUGAGAGCACGUCUUCCUGGGCAUCACG